GGUUCAUGGUGUAAUGGUUAGCACUCUGGACUCUGAAUCCAGCGAUCUGAGUUCAAAUCUCAACGGGACCU
rnacentral:tRNA from 1 species